UCUCUUCUCUCUUCCUCACUCCGUGCUCCCUGCAUCAUUCCUCUAUAGAAACCGAUACAUAUAUACGCACCAUCUCCUCUCUCUUUCUCUCUCCCUCCCAUAUAUAUAUAUAUAUAUAUAUAUAUAUAUAUAUAUAUAACUUAUAUGCAUACGUGGUUGUCACUUUGUCGUCCUUUUCGAACAAUUCACAGAUCGGUGCUUUCGCAGAUCCGGUUAAUUUCCCUCUUCUCUCCGUGGAUUUAAGGUUGUAGUUUGGAUGACAUUAGAUCUAUAUAUUAACAAUGACUUCAAGUAUGUUAACUGGGGAGUGAAGCAUAGCGCCAUAGCGGGCUUUCAAGUCUCAUCUCACUCCACAGCCACAUGUACGUGUUUCUCGUCUUUCAUUUGAUUUGUAUCUGCUAUGCGUGUAUCUCUACGUAUAUAUACUGGAAUCGACACCUUUGGAUGGUGCACGAGCUCACUUGAAUCUGUUUGGCCAUCUAGUUUGCGGGUGGUGAGUGGAUAUUGCUUUCUGCAAUGCCGGUAAGGUGUUUGAUGAAUUGUUUGUGAGAUUUUCAGUUGUAUAGGUGCGAGUGGAUGUCUGCUUCUUUGCCUAAUUUCAACAAG